GAAAGCUAUGGGAAUCAAUGCUACCUUCCCU
rnacentral:piRNA from 1 species